UGGAAUUCGCCACAUCCGCCUCCAGCAC
rnacentral:sRNA from 1 species